GGAGUCGGCCGGAUGAUCGCUGCCACGGUUCCACCAUGGCGGAGGAAAGUCCGGGCUCCACAGGACAGGAUGCCAGGUAACGCCUGGGGGGCGCGAGCCCACGGAAAGUGCCACAGAAAACAGACCGCCCGACCACUCUGCCGGCGGUUCAUCCGGUGGUCUCAUCCACCGGUCGAAGCCGGCGAGUGGUCGGGUAAGGGUGAAAAGGUGCGGUAAGAGCGCACCGCGUCGCUGGUAACAGCGGCGGCAGGGUAAACCCCAUCCGGAGCAAGACCAAAUAGGGGGACGCUGGCGCGAGCCUGAGGUGUGGUCCGCACUGUCCCCGGGUAGGUCGCUCGAGGCGUCCGGCGACGGGCGUCCCAGAUGAAUGAUCAUCCCCGACAGAACCCGGCUUACAGGCCGGCUCCCACU
rnacentral:RNase_P_RNA from 1 species